UACGUAGGGGGCAAGCGUUGUCUGGAAUCAUUGGGCGUAAAGCGCGUGUAGGCGGUUCGGUAAGUCUGCUGUGAAAGUCCAGGGCUCAACCCUGGGAUGCCGGUGGAUACUGUCGGACUAGAGUACGGAAGAGGCGAGUGGAAUUCCCGGUGUAGCGGUGAAAUGCGCAGAUAUCAGGAGGAACACCGGUGGCGAAGGCGGAUCUCUGGGCCAUUACUGACGCUGAGGAGCGAAAGCGUGGGGAGCGAACAGG
rnacentral:rRNA from 1 species